CUCUUAUGAUGGUAGGUUGGUUGAUUCUGUUGGCUGUCAGUGCUGUUGAGGUUGUCAUCUAUGUCGAUUUCAGAGCCUAACAUGGGUCUCAAAGUAGAUGGAUUAUCAGAGGGAUGGAUAAAACUGUUGCCUUCUCCACUAAGCUCAUCAUCAUUUUGAGCAGCAAUGAUACUCUUGGAACCAACAGGAGUAGCAACAACAUUUGAAGUUUGAGUGUCAUAAUCAUCUCGGGCAAUCAGGGAUUCUGGUGGUGAUUCUUCUUUUUCCACUCAAAUGGAUCCUUUGAUUACUUUUUUAUCCUAUUAGUACAUUAAAUAAUGUAAGCCCUGAGCAUUUUGUCGAGCACCUUGAGUGCAGAAAAAAAGGUAAUUGAAAA